rnacentral:lncRNA from 1 species
AGACUACAUUUGAAAAAUUGAGAUAGGAAGACUUCAUUUUUUGAAACUGAAAGAACAAAAAAUGUCAGCUGGAAGUCCUUCUGUUCUAAGGCUGUGAUUUAUCAGUUACCCUUUUCAUGACUUUACUGCUUAUUACUUGUGUAAUUGCAUAUUCCAUGGAAGUUUCACAUUUGCAACAAACUCCUGACAGGGCUCCACAGUACCCUUCAAUCACCUAUGAAACCCCCAGUUUUAAAUGUUAUUUUACCAAAAUUUUAAAAUAUAAACUCAGUAUUCUGCACAUCUAUUGUAUACAAUUUAUACAAGUCUCUGGAUAUGACAAAACAGUGCCAUUCCAUUGGUAAACUAAAUUCAGAAAUUGUUGAUAUGGGUUGUCAGGACAAGUGCUAGAGAGUAAUGUGUUUUGAUAAUCCUUGAGUUCUUACAGAAAAAUAUGUAUAGUUAGAAUCUUGAGAUAAAACAUUUCAUCUAUUCUAUAGGUAAGAAAAACACCAAACAGGUACAGUCUAUAAAUAAUAGACUAAAUGUAGAGGAUAGAGUGCAGUGCAGUCAGUGGUUUUAUAAUGAUUUUUGUACUUGACCAUUUUUUUGUAAUAAACUAGAUUACAGAGAUGGAUGCUGCUUUCAUGUAUCUGUCAUUCUGAGGUUUGGCAUAACUAUAACUUCAUCUGUACCCACUAGCUGAUAUUACUUUUUUUCCCUUUCCCCUCACACCCUAGCCCCGUAAAAGUCCAGUAAGACGUCAGUUGCAGAGACUGAAGCCCUCAACUACAUCUGAAAAAUGGCACACGUCUUAGCGACAUCUCUGCAAUUGUUCUUGGAGCAGAGCCUUUUCAGGAGUGACAGGAGCAGAUUUGCAGUGAAGAGCUGCUAAUGCAGAAGGAUCCGUUCCGGAUGUUCUCCUCCCAUCUGUUAUACAGUGCAGCAGCUCUUCUGCAUCUCCUGGGACGAUGCAUGAGGAGUCAGAAAAAUUGUGGUCCUUGUGCUGGGAAUGCUGUGACAAGAAGUUUGAAGGCAGCCUCUUGUUCUCUUCAGGAGUCCUCCAAACCCAAACCUUCAGGUUUAUCCUUGCCCCCCGCCUCUCCCACCACUUGUCCUGCCUUCCAGAUGGAUCAUCAUUGUGGCUUGCUUGGAUGUUCUAAGAGUGGGUUUGAUUUUCCCUCCUCCUUUCAAGAAUGUUCCCUUUCAAACCAGAGCAGUCACCAGGAGCCUUUUUCUCUCCUAUCCUCCUUCACUCAAUUCCUGUAAUGAUAUAGCACCACAUAAAUACAAUAUACCAUUGCGUAAAUGCCUUCUCAGGAACUACAAUCACAGCCUGGACUAUUCUACUAAUCUGUGGCAAAGGCACGCCAAACCCUGCUUGAAGGGAGCACUCCAUGAGGUCCCCAUAUCCUUAAUUCUUCUGAUUCCAUAACAUAAUUUUUGCCUCUUGGUCUCUGAACUGGUGAUAAAUCUUGGUAGAAGCAUCAUGCAGGCAAUUUUGCAUAAGAUUUUUUCCCAACUCACUAUACAGACCUGAUGAAAUGGAUAAUUUCCAUUUUGAGAAUGUUAACAUUUUUAUAAAAGAUCUAAAAGGUAUUACAACAAUGUUGUUGAAGAAAAAUGAAUGCUUUAUUUUUGUUUAUGAAUGCACAUCUUGAUGAAAUCCUGUUAGUAGCUAAAUACUUGAAUUACACUAUGAAUUAAUAAAAUCAUGAAUUUUGUAUGUUUUCUGGAAGGU